rnacentral:misc_RNA from 1 species
GAUGAAGAACGUAGCGAAAUGCGAUACUUGGUGUGAAUUGCAGAAUCCCGUGAACCAUCGAGUCUUUGAACUCAAGUUGCGCCCGAAGCCACUAGGCCGAGGGCACGCCUGCCUGGGCGUCACACGUCGUUGCCCCCCCAUCUACUCCUUCGGGAUUGCGGGGGGGCGGAUGAUGGCCUCCCGUGCGCCUAGCCGCGCGGUUGGCAUAAAUACCAAGUCCUCGGCGACGCACGCCACGACAAUCGGUGGUUGCGAAACCUCGGUUGCCCGUCGUGUGCGUUCGUCGCGCAUCGAGGGCUCGAAAAAAUGCUCGGCUUCGGCUCGGCUUUCAACGCGACCCCAGGUCAGGCGGGGUUACCCGCUGAAUUUAAGCAUAUCAAUAAGCGGAGGA